rnacentral:rRNA from 1 species
AAAUGAAUUGACGGGGGCCCGCACAAGCAGUGGAGCAUGUGGUUUAAUUCGACGCGACCCGAAGAACCUUACCAGGUCUUGACAUCUACCUAAUCCUGUAGAGAUAUGGGAGUGCCUUUUGGAAAGGUAAGACAGGUGGUGCAUGGUUGUCGUCAGCUCGUGUCGUGAGAUGUUGGGUUAAGUCCCGCAACGAGCGCAACCCUUGAUGUUGGUUGCCAGCAGGUAAAGCUGGGCACUCCAGCGUGACUGCCGUAGAGAAUACGGAGGAAGGCGGGGAUGACGUCAAAUCAUCAUGCCCUAUAUGACCUGGGCUACACACGUGCUACAAUGGGGUGAACAACGGGAAGCAAGCGAGCGAUCGCAAGCGGAGCCCUAAAAACACCUCUCAGUUCGGAUUGCAGGCUGCAACUCGCCUGCAUGAAGUCGGAAUUGCUAGUAAUCGCGGAUCAGCAAGCCGCGGUGAAUACGUUCCCGGGCCUUGUACACACCGCCCGU